GCUGGAUAAUUCUAUUUUAAUAACCUUAUAAAGACUAAACAUGGUGGUAGAGAGCACAUUGGUACUGCCAGGGGUAGGUAUGAAGCAACAUUUUGAUUGUGAUCUGGUAGCAGGGGAAAUGUUUUAGAUUGACAAAUCUUCUCUUUAUUGUGGUACUGGACACACAAAUCUAUACCUGCAUGAAGUUUCACAUUUUGGUUAUAUAUACCAAAAAAGGCAAGAUUGCUAAUCUGGAAUUUUAAAAGACAACAAAAUGGUGUGGGUGUGUGUGUGUGUGUGUGUAUUUAAACAUCAAUCUUUGAAGUUUUAAAAGACAACAAAAUGGUGUGGGUGUGUGUGUGUGUGUGUGUAUUUAAACAUCAGCAUCUUUGAAGAAAUAGGGCUGCUACAAGAAUUAAAAGUUUGAAGGGAGUUUCUCCUUUAAAGCACUUUAAAAGAACAUUGUGCACCAAAGUGGACCCCAUGAAAACUCAGCUUUAUGAUUGGAUACCUCAGUCUUUACCAAUCCAGGUGACACCGGCCGAGCCAGACAUCUAUCCUUCGCUAUACAACAAAAACACCUGCAUCUACUGGCGCGGAGGAAACCAAUUCAGUGCUGUCCCAGCUGAUGCCGACAUCACCACAGAUGUUGUAUUGGGCCCCUAAAAUAGUGAGGUCCUGACUGACUCUCCAUUCAAGAGUCCUGCAACCUCCUUAUUUUCCCAACCAGCCCUAUUUUCCCCAGGGCACCACCUAGAUAUGACUGCUUACAGCUGAAAUGCAAUCCUGAUUAAAGACCUCUUUCUUUUCUCCGCAA
rnacentral:lncRNA from 1 species